rnacentral:tRNA from 1 species
AAGGUGCUAGUAUAGACGCUAACACACUGCCUUGUCAAGGCAGAAUCGCGGGUUAAACCCCCGCGCACCUUG